UACGGAGGGGGCUAGCGUUGUUCGGAAUUACUGGGCGUAAAGCGCACGUAGGCGGCUUUGUAAGUUAGAGGUGAAAGCCCAGGGCUUAACCCUGGAAUUGCCCUUAAGACUGCAUCGCUAGAAUCGUGGAGAGGCGAGUGGAAUUCCGAGUGUAGAGGUGAAAUUCGUAGAUAUUCGGAAGAACACCAGUGGCGAAGGCGACUCACUGGACACGUAUUGACGCUGAGGUGCGAAAGCGUGGGGAGCAAACAGG
rnacentral:rRNA from 1 species